rnacentral:rRNA from 1 species
CGGGGUGCACCAGGCGCGAAAACUUUACAAUGCUGGCAACAGCGAUAAGGGGACCUCGAGUGCCAGGUUACAAAUCUGGCUGUCGUGAUGCCUAAAAAGCAUUGCAUAGCAAGGGCCGGGCAAGACCGGUGCCAGCCGCCGCGGUAACACCGGCGGCUCGAGUGGUAACCGUUAUUAUUGGGUCUAAGGGGUCUGUAGCCGGCCGGAUAAGUCUCUUGGGAAAUCCAGCAGCUCAACUGUUGGGCUUUCAGGAGAUACUGUCUGGCUCGAGGCCGGGAGAGGUGAGAGGUACUUCAGGGGUAGGGGUGAAAUCUUGUAAUCCUUGAAGGACCACCAGUGGCGAAGGCGUCUCACCAGAACGGACCUGACGGCAAGGGACGAAAGCUAGGGGCACGAACCGGAUUAGAUACCCGGGUAGUCCUAGCCGUAAACGAUACUCGCUAGGUGUCGGCCACGGUGCGACCGUUGUCGGUGCCGUAGGGAAGCCGUGAAGCGAGCCACCUGGGAAGUACGGCCGCAAGGCUGAAACUUAAAGGAAUUGGCGGGGG